AUGGCCAACACACAGGCACGUCCCGGACCCCUCGAAUCACUGGAAGCGAUGUCGCCUCUUCAAGUUUAUUCUCGGCAAGUUCAAGCUUAUCACAGUGAUGGUUAUGAGUCUGUCCAUGACCACAUUCUUUGUACUCAAGACGGUUUCAGCACCUUGUUUUACUCCAUAUCCUUGGAGAUCCUCGAUAUUAUCGUGCAGCUGAAUGACACUGCUUGCUUCUUCUGGAAGCGCUCAAGGGCUUUAUUCAGUGACAAUAGUACUUCUGCUAUCUAUAUCGAGAACAAGUUUCACUCUUCCCAUUGCUUGAACACACCUGUCAUUAUAACAAUCUUUGCACCAUGGUCAGCCUGUCUGAGACAUGAUGCUCAGUCAGAACAUGUCGUGAGGCCUCAGCCCCUGAAAUUCUUGACCUCGAUAAAGGCUGCUUUGUCAAUCUUCGGGUUGAGACCCUGUAACACUUUCAGCACAAGCAUCUUAGUGGAGAAGGGCUGA
rnacentral:rRNA from 1 species